rnacentral:rRNA from 1 species
AUGGCUCAGAACGAACGCUGGCGGCGCGUUUAAGCAUGCAAGUCGAGCGGCAAGGGCCUUCGGGCCCCUAGAGCGGCGGACGGGUGAGUAACACGUGGACAAUCUGCCCCCGGCCCGGGAUAGCCCAGGGAAACCUGGAUUAAUACCGGAUGAGACGGGACCCGCGAUGGCGGGAUCCGGGAAAGGCGCUGCGGCGCCGUCGGGGGAUGAGUCUGCGUCCCAUUAGCUAGACGGCGGGGUAACGGCCCACCGUGGCGACGAUGGGUAGCCGGCCUGAGAGGGUGGACGGCCACAUUGGAACUGAGACACGGUCCAGACUCCUACGGGAGGCAGCAGCUAAGAAUCUUCCGCAAUGGGCGAAAGCCUGACGGAGCGACGCCGCGUGAACGAAGAAGGCCGUGAGGUUGUAAAGUUCUUUUCGGGAGGGGGAACAACCGUGGCAGGGAAUGGCCGCGGGAUGACGUGAAUCCCGGAAUAAGCCCCGGCUAACUACGUGCCAGCAGCAGC